rnacentral:siRNA from 1 species
GUAUUGGUUGAACCCUUUCU